rnacentral:misc_RNA from 1 species
UCGCGGCUUAUCACCGGCAGUCCCCUUAGAGUGCCCAACUGAAUGAUGGCAACUAAGGGCGAGGGUUGCGCUCGUUGCGGGACUUAACCCAACAUCUCACGACACGAGCUGACGACAGCCAUGCAGCACCUGUGUUCCCGCCAGCCGAACUGAAGGAUCCCAUCUCUGGGACCCAUACGGGACAUGUCAAAGGUUGGUAAGGUUCUGCGCGUUGCUUCGAAUUGAACCACAUGCUCCACCGCUUGUGCGGGCCCCCGUCAAUUCCUUUGAGUUUCAGCCUUGCGACUGUACUCCCCAGGCGGUAUACUUAACGCGUUCGCUACGGCACAACCGGGGUUGAAUCCAGUUACACCAAGUAUACAUCGUUUAUAGCAAGGACUAC